rnacentral:rRNA from 1 species
CCUGCGGAGGGAUCAUUACCGAGUUUACAACUCCCAAACCCCUGUGAACAUACCAAUUGUUGCCUCGGCGGAUCAGCCCGCUCCCGGUAAAACGGGACGGCCCGCCAGAGGACCCUUAAACUCUGUUUCUAUAUGUAACUUCUGAGUAAAACCAUAAAUAAAUCAAAACUUUCAACAACGGAUCUCUUGGUUCUGGCAUCGAUGAAGAACGCAGCAAAAUGCGAUAAGUAAUGUGAAUUGCAGAAUUCAGUGAAUCAUCGAAUCUUUGAACGCACAUUGCGCCCGCCAGUAUUCUGGCGGGCAUGCCUGUUCGAGCGUCAUUUCAACCCUCAAGCCCAGCUUGGUGUUGGGACUCGCGAGUUAAACCGCGUUCCCCAAAUUGAUUGGCGGUCACGUCGAGCUUCCAUAGCGUAGUAGUAAAACCCUCGUUACUGGUAAUCGUCGCGGCCACGCCGUUAAACCCCAACUUCUGAAUGUUGACCUCGGAUCAGGUAGGAAUACCCGCUGAACUUAAGCAUAUCA